rnacentral:lncRNA from 1 species
GCAUAGACUGUCCUAGUAGGACACCAAUUCUAGCCAAAGUUGCCCACGGGAACCACCCACCACUGCUUGCUUCGCUUGAAAGAAAACAAGGGCUGGGAGACAGCUGCCUCUGAUUUUACUUCUUGCCUUAGGAAGGUUCCAGCUAAUUUUGUGUAACAUAGUUGUGCCGGCUCUUCCAUGAAAAUUUUGUCUUUUUCUUUGUAGAAUCCUCAGUCCUUCAGAAAUAUUAAUUUCUAAACUGACUGUUCUGCUUAUACUUUCCCCUCUUUUUUGGUUAUUUAAUUCCUGUUAUAACACUCAAGGGCUGCUACUGGUCUUACAUUUAAUUUACUGCAUUUUAUUUUAUGAGAUUUCUGUGGCUUCUUGUUACAGGACUUUGUAUGAGAUUUUGUGGAGAGGUCCUGGUUAACUUUAAAGAACUCCUUGGGUUAGUUGGCUGAGAAUCAUUGGCUUUGGUUGGCUGCUGAGACUUGUGGGAGGACCAUUUGAAAGCGCCUACUUCUCCAAGAGGCAGGGUCUCGCUGUCACCCUCAGGUUGGAGUGCAGUGGUGUGAUCAUAGCUCACUGUAACUCCUGGGCUCGAGUGAUCCUUAGGCCUCAGUCUCCUGAGCAGCUGGG